UACAGAGGGUGCAAGCGUUGUUCGGAAUUAUUGGGCGUAAAGGGUGCGUAGGCGGUGCGGUAAGUCUCUUGUGAAAUCUCCAGGCUCAACCUGGAGCCUGCAAGGGAAACUGCCGUGCUUGAGUGUGGGAGAGGUGAGUGGAAUUCCCGGUCUAGCGGUGAAAUGCGUAGAUAUCGGGAGGAACACCUGUGGCGAAAGCGGCUCACUGGACCACAACUGACGCUGAUGCACGAAAGCUAGGGGAGCAAACAGG
rnacentral:rRNA from 1 species